CAGAGCCUGGCCGUCGAUCUCCUGCAGCCUGAAGGCCUCGGCCACGUCGCCGCAGCCUGACGGAGCAACACACACCAUGAGCACAAAGACCAGUACAGUGGCUGUCAUUGCUACAUUGACCACCAGAGGGCGCAAACCUCCCAUCUUUCCACUGUCUCUACCGUCUGGACCGAGUCAAGCUUUCGGUGUAAACUGGACUGGAGAACCUCAGUGGGUGAUUAUUUUUUAUGUAGGUGUGUUGUCAUGUCAGAAUGGAGGCUGGAUGAGGUUCCUACCAAGCGCAGCAGCAGAGGUUUCCC